GGGCGUUAAGUUGCAGGGUAUAGACCCGAAACCCGGUGAUCUAGCCAUGGGCAGGUUGAAGGUUGGGUAACACUAACUGGAGGACCGAACCGACUAAUGUUGAAAAAUUAGCGGAUGACCUGUGGCUGGGGGUGAAAGGCCAAUCAAACCGGGAGAUAGCUGGUUCUCCCCGAAAGCUAUUUAGGUAGCGCCUCGUGAACUCAUCUCCGGGGGUAGAGCACUGUUUCGGCUAGGGGGCCAUCCCGGCUUACCAACCCGAUGCAAACUGCGAAUACCGGAGAAUGUUAUCACGGGAGACACACGGCGGGUGCUAACGUCCGUCGUGAAGAGGGAAACAACCCAGACCGCCAGCUAAGGUCCCAAAGUCAUGGUUAAGUGGGAAACGAUGUGGGAAGGCCCA
rnacentral:rRNA from 1 species